CUGUGCCCAGGUGUGUCUCAGCUGUUCCCAGGUGUUCCCAGGUGUGCCCAGGUGUGCCCAGGUGUGUCUCAGGUAACGGUGAGCGAGAAGGCCCGGUAGCCCAGGUUGGUGAAGACGUCGAUCUUGGGGCUGUUCCCGGCCACCGUCAGCACCUGCCGAGGGGCG